CGCCUCUCGCGAAGCCCCUUCGCGGGGCGGGCCGGCCGGCGGGCCGCACCCCCGGCCUGGGGCCUCCGGUCGUAGUAAAGCGGAGGCGGGUGGGGAGGCGGGAGCGUUAGCCCGCGGCGGGCGAGGCGAAGAUGGUGGCGGCUACUCCUCCUGUCAUACACGUGGACCUAACUGCACCAAAAGCUUUUCUUAAGGAUACUUGCUGAGAAGAAAGUUUUCCCUAGUGGAGCUUCAGAAACACUGCUAAGAAAAAGAGAGCUGUUAAAGAUAGAGACUUAUUCCCUAAACCCAUUUCCGGUAAGACUGUGGUGGGGGCGCAGCCAGUGGCUGUGAG